UACGUAGGGUGCAAGCGUUGUCCGGAAUUAUUGGGCGUAAAGAGCUCGUAGGCGGUUUGUCGCGUCUGCUGUGAAAUCCGAGGCUCAACCUCCAGCCUGCAGUGGGUACGGGCAGACUAGAGUGCGGUAGGGGAGAUUGGAAUUCCUGGUGUAGCGGUGGAAUGCGCAGAUAUCAGGAGGAACACCAAUGGCGAAGGCAGAUCUCUGGGCCGUAACUGACGCUGAGGAGCGAAAGCAUGGGGAGCGAACAGG
rnacentral:rRNA from 1 species